GCUGUUCAAAGAUGGAUGUGUAUAGUAAAAGUGCCACCACCACGUCGAAAUUCUGAUUGGAAGAUAUUGGAAGAAAAUUUGCGUUUCCAUCAUUGAAAAGUACGGCGUUCUAUGCUUCCAGCAUACUUCAAGUCUGUUGAAAUCGAUGAGUCAACUCAACUUACUUUCCCUGGGAUUAUUCGUCAUAAAAAUGAUAACAAGCCUACAAUUUACACUUGGCAAUACCAUCUGAUCAUGUAGCCUGAAAAUGCUGUUUCCCAAGAUGUUGUCUCUUGCUGCACAUACCGGCUGUGCGUUUCCUCACAUGUAGAAAUACUUCACAACAGUAAAAGUGAUCAUGUUGUGUAACCUUAGCAUGGUGAAGUCUGAGAUUCUUCAUUGCAGUCCAAUGUGCUGUGCCAGUGUGAUUUGUUGCAGCCAGCUGGCGAAAGGUGUUCCUCUUGCAGGCUGACUUGUUACCAGUACCAUUUGUAUGUUUGUCAUGCAGAAACACACACUUAAAGUGCUGAUGUUGUCCUGGAGUGUGGGAGAGUUCCAUGCUUCAAGUCUUCUGGGAUCAGCCAUAUCUGAGUUGAUGCUGGAUCAUGCUGCAUUGAGGUUGCCGAAAUGUGGACAUCUAGUAGAACUGCAAGAAGACUUCUUGAAAUGGUUUAUGUUUACGUAGCAGUGAUGUUGCUGUCCAAUAUGGCAUGUUGUUGCAGCCUAUAGACUGGUGACAGAUUUUUUGCAUCGAGCUAUGCUGUUGCUGUUCCUUGGUGCCGGACUGCUGGUGUGGUGCACAAAAGUUACAUCCAGUUUUAAUUGUUGUUUGUGUCUAAAUGCAUCUAUGAAGUUAACCGUUUAUAUGUUGAGAAUGAAAAAAAAUUAGUAAUACGGGGAAUAUUUACGUUGAAAAAAUAAUAAACAUGCCUUCGCGGUUGGGAAAUCAGCGAGGAGGAGAUUGGGGGUGGGGGUGGGUAAUUGAUUUUCAUUAAUUAGAAAAAGUCGUUUUUUUUAAUAAGGUAGAAAAUCCUUUGUCUAUAACAUCCAUAUACCUACCUAUAUAACCACAUCUAUUCCUCAAACUCCAUAACCUCCACCAACAUCCAUUCCUUAAACUCCCAUUUCCCCUCAAAUGUCAAAUAUCUGUAAUAUGUACAUGUUAUUGUUCAAUAAAUAAACCAACUUUAUGCUAUGUAAAA
rnacentral:lncRNA from 1 species